rnacentral:rRNA from 1 species
GGGCAAUGUUUAAUGGCAGUCGAACGAAGCACAUUGAAGGAAUUCUUCGGAAGGAAAGUGAUGUGACUGAGUGGCGCCCUUAUGAGUAACGCGUGGGUAACCUGCCUUACACAGGGGGCCAUCAGUUAGAGAUGACUGCUAAUACCGCAUAAGACCACAGGGUCGCAUGAUCUUGUGGAAAAAACUGAGGUGGUGUAAGAUGGGCCCGCGUCUGAUUAGCUAGUUGGUGAGGUAAGAGCUCACCAAGGCGACGAUCAGUAGCCGACCUGAGAGGGUGAACGGCCACAUUGGGACUGAGACACGGCCCAAACUCCUACGGGAGGCAGCAGUGGGGAAUAUUGCACAAUGGGGGAAACCCUGAUGCAGCGACGCCGCGUGAGUGAAGAAGUAUUUCGGUAUGUAAAGCUCUAUCAGCAGGGAAGAAAGUGACGGUACCUGACUAAGAAGCCCCGGCUAACUACGUGCCAGCAGCCGCGGUAAUACGUAGGGGGCAAGCGUUAUCCGGAUUUACUGGGUGUAAAGGGAGCGUAGACGGAGGAGCAAGUCUGAAGUGAAAGCCCGCGGCUCAACUGCGGGACUGCUUUGGAAACUGUUCAUCUAGAGUGUCGGAGAGGUAAGUGGAAUUCCUAGUGUAACGGUGAAAUGCGUAGAUAUUAGGAGGAACACCAGUGGCGAAGGCGGCUUACUGGACGAUGACUGACGUUGAGGCUCGAAAGCGUGGGGAGCAAACAGGAUUAGAUACCCUGGUAG